rnacentral:misc_RNA from 1 species
GAUGAAGAACGCAGCGAAAUGCGAUACGUAAUGUGAAUUGCAGAAUUCAGUGAAUCAUCGAGUCUUUGAACGCACAUUGCGCCCUCUGGUAUUCCGGAGGGCAUGCCUGUCCGAGCGUCAUUGCUGCCCUCAAGCACGGCUUGUGUGUUGGGCUCCGUCCCCCGAUCCCGGGGGACGGGCCCGAAAGGCAGCGGCGGCACCGCGUCCGGUCCUCGAGCGUAUGGGGCUUUGUCACCCGCUCUGUAGGCCCGGCCGGCGCUUGCCGAUCAACCAAAUUUUUAUCCAGGUUGACCUCGGAUCAGGUAGUGAUACCCGCUGAACUUAAGCAUAUCAAUAAGCGGAGGA